rnacentral:rRNA from 1 species
AUUGAACGCUGGCGGCAGGCCUAACACAUGCCAGUCGAGCGGAUGAAGGGAGCUUGCUCCUGGAUUCAGCGGCAGACGGGUGAGUAAUGCCUAGGAAUCUGCCUGGUAGUGGGGGAUAACGUCCGGAAACGGGCGCUAAUACCGCAUACGUCCUGAGGGAGAAAGUGGGGGAUCUUCGGACCUCACGCUAUCAGAUGAGCCUAGGUCGGAUUAGCUAGUUGGUGGGGUAAAGGCCUACCAAGGCGACGAUCCGUAACUGGUCUGAGAGGAUGAUCAGUCACACUGGAACUGAGACACGGUCCAGACUCCUACGGGAGGCAGCAGUGGGGAAUAUUGGACAAUGGGCGAAAGCCUGAUCCAGCCAUGCCGCGUGUGUGAAGAAGGUCUUCGGAUUGUAAAGCACUUUAAGUUGGGAGGAAGGGCAGUAAGUUAAUACCUUGCUGUUUUGACGUUACCAACAGAAUAAGCACCGGCUAACUUCGUG